UCUCUCUUUCGCGGGAUGUCAUUGCGAUGAGAGGCACUGCUAGACCUGAUAUUCUCCUGUUACUACCUGAUGGUGUCUGUUAUACUUUGAUACAGGUAUGUAAAUGGAUCAUUAUAGUACUGGUUUCUUUUCCUGUGUUUUUCUCUCGUAUAUUAUUGUAUUUGUUUUUAUAAUUGUUAUUGUACGUUAUAAUGGUCUCUCUUUCGCGGGAUGUCAUUGCGAUGAGAGGCACUGCUAGACCUGAUAUUCUCCUGUUACUACCUGAUGGUGUCUGUUAUACUUUGAUACAGAAACUUCAGAAGCCGAAAGUAAACCACGUGACAACCGCA